rnacentral:pre_miRNA from 1 species
GUACUACUCCCUCCGUUCUGAAUUACUUGUCGCACGUAUGGAUAUAUUUAGAUGUAUUUUAGUUUUAGAUAAAUCCAUCUUAGCGACGAGUAAUUUGGAACGGAGGAAGUACCUC